CAGCGUCCCGGAAAGAUCACGCCCUUUUGCAAGACGCGGAAACCAAGGCUCCUGGCUGCAAGAUCUGGAGUUGGGGAUGCUCAGGGCAGGAUGGGAGACCUCAGUUCCUCUGCCUGUCUACAUGCUGGAGGCCCCGAUAUGGAAUAAACUGUAUUUAUGCCUCCGGGACCUCAGGAACUCAGCUGGCUGAGAUGACCACCACCUUCAGAGGAGGCUCACAGGGGAGAAGCGCUGAAAUCUAUUAUUUGGGGCCAAUAAAGAUUUGGCCUUUGCCACCUGACCUCUGUCUUCAUCAAUCUGGAGAGUUCACCACCCUCCCAGCCCCCUCCCACAGGGCUUCCGGGAAGCCUUCCUGCUCCUCUGCCUAACGAGACUAUGCCCACCCGAGUGGCCCAGUCAU